rnacentral:rRNA from 1 species
UACGGGGGGGGCAAGCGUUGUUCGGAAUUACUGGGCGUAAAGAGCUCGUAGGUGGCGUGUCGCGUCUGCCGUGAAAGCCCAUGGCUUAACUGUGGGUCUGCGGUGGAUACGGGCAGGCUGGAGGCUGGUAGGGGCAAGCGGAAUUCCUGGUGUAGCGGUGAAAUGCGCAGAUAUCAGGAGGAACACCGGUGGCGAAGGCGGCUUGCUGGGCCAGUUCUGACGCUGAGGAGCGAAAGCGUGGGGAGCGAACAGG